AUGGCCAGGCCGUGCUGCGUGUGCUCAGGGCUGUGCCUAAACUUUGCCAUCAAUUCUUUCUUUUGGAGGGGAGCAGGACAUUGCCACCUCCUCAGCAGCUGCCAGUGUGGCAUGCUCCUGAGCCCGCUGCUGUCUCCCAGCACUGCUAUUCCCCCCGUGCUGCAGAGACGAGGAUCCACCUGGAGAGAGCCGUCGUGGGAGCGAGAGCCGGCCCCAGGUGCUGUUCCAGCCCCUCCUGAAAGGGUGCUCCCCGCAGACCAUCUGGUGCAGCACGAUGCCCAGGGACCAGACAGUCGCUGCCUCGCCGUGGUACCAGCCGAGGUGCGUCCAUUCCGGGGGGCUGUAGGACGGUGUUCCUAUGGAAUAGAGAUGGAGUUCUUCAGGGGGACGCUGCCUGCUCCCAGAGCCUCGCCCCAGCAUCCCUGGGCCUGCGGGGGCCGCACCCGCUGCCCUCUCGCCAGCACCGGGGACUUGCGUACAAACUGGGGGUUGGAAAAGAAGCCGCUGGUGUCGCAAGAGGGCAGCGGAAGCCCUGGCAAGGCCCGAGCAUUCCAUGCAAAGGAAAAACCCACUCCGUGCUGGGGAAAAACCACGCUUUCAUCCUCCCUGCCUGCACUGCCCCAGAAACCAUUCUUAAGCCAAGGCAAGCACGGGCAGCAGAGCAGUCCGAGCCCUGUCUCGCCUGCACACCAAACGGGCUGGAGCACAGGUUCUGGCCCCCCCUCUCUGCUACCCCCACCCACGGGUGUUUCUGCGGCGCUGGCUGCCCCAGCCCCAGCGCCAGUCCUGGGCAGAGUGGCUGGCAAAGGCUGCCAGCAGGGCUGGAAGAUGGCCCCUCAGCCAGCGCCGCUCAAAAGCAGCUCAGCUGAAGACUCCGGCUGCCAUGACUGGCAGCAAAAGGGACAAUCCCCCGGGCCACAGCCGGCUUGGGCUGUGAGCUGUUGGGCUCUGAGAUGCCGCUACCAGGAGCCUCCCCCUGCGUGGGCUCACCUGCAAAGCUGGUGUAGGCUGCGGCUUGCAGGUAGGUGCCACAGCCAAAGUCGAUGA
rnacentral:lncRNA from 1 species